rnacentral:rRNA from 1 species
AGGGUUUGAUCAUGGCUCAGAACGUACGCUGGCGGCACGCCUAACACAUGCAAGUCGAACGAAGUAGCAAUACUUAGUGGCAGACGGGUGAGUAACAUGUGGGUAUCUGCCCUUUGGCCUGGAAUAACACGAGGAAACUUGUGCUAAUACCGGAUAAGUCUUUACGGAGAAAGCUUUAUGCACCAUUGGAUGAGCCCGCACUUGAUUAGUUUGUUGGUGGGGUAAUGGCCUACCAAGACUGUGAUCAAUAGCUGAUUUGAGAGGAUGAUCAGCCACAUUGGGACUGAGACACGGCCCAAACUCCUACGGGAGGCAGCAGUGGGGAAUCUUGCACAAUGGAGGAAACUCUGAUGCAGCGAUGCCGCGUGAGUGAAGAAGGCCCUUGGGUUGUAAAGCUCUUUCGUCGGGGAAGAAAAUGACUGUACCCGAAUAAGAAGGUCCGGCUAACUUCGUGCCAGCAGCCGCGGUAAUACGAAGGGACCUAGCGUAGUUCGGAAUUACUGGGCUUAAAGAGUUCGUAGGUGGUUGAAAAAGUUAGUGGUGAAAUCCCAGAGCUUAACUCUGGAACUGCCAUUAAAACUUUUCAGCUAGAGUAUGAUAGAGGAAAGCAGAAUUUCUAGUGUAGAGGUGAAAUUCGUAGAUAUUAGAAAGAAUACCAAUUGCGAAGGCAGCUUUCUGGAUCAUUACUGACACUGAGGAACGAAAGCAUGGGUAGCGAAGAGGAUUAGAUACCCUCGUAGUCCAUGCCGUAAACGAUGUGUGUUAGACGUUGGAAAUUUAUUUUCAGUGUCGCAGCGAAAGCGAUAAACACACCGCCUGGGGAGUACGACCGCAAGGUUAAAACUCAAAUGAAUUGACGGGGACCCGCACAAGUAGUGGAGCAUGUGGUUUAAUUCGAAGAUACGCGCAGAACCUUACCAACACUUGACAUGUUCGUCGCGACUCUAAGAGAUUAGAGUUUUCGGUUCGGCCGGACGAAACACAGGUGCUGCAUGGCUGUCGUCAGCUCGUGUCGUGAGAUGUUGGGUUAAGUCCCGCAACGAGCGCAACCCUCACUUUUAGUUGCCAUCAUUAAGUUGGGCACUCUGAAAGAACUGCCAGUGAUAAGCUGGAGGAAGGUGGGGAUGACGUCAAGUCCUCAUGGCCCUUACGUGUUGGGCUACACACGUGCUACAAUGGUAUCUACAACAGGAAGCAAGACUGCGAGGUCAAGCAAAUCCUUAAAAGAUACCUCAGUUCGGAUUGCACUCUGCAACUCGAGUGCAUGAAGCUGGAAUUACUAGUAAUCGUGGAUCAGCGUGCCACGGUGAAUGCGUUCCCGGGUCUUGUACACACCGCCCGUCACACCAUGGGAGUGGGUUUUACCAGAAG